rnacentral:rRNA from 1 species
ACCGGCGGCUCGAGUGGUGGCCGCUUUUACUGGGCUUAAAGGGUCCGUAGCUGGAUUCACUGGUCCCUUGAGAAAUCUAUCGGCUUAACUGAUAGGCGUUCAGGGGAAACUGUGGUUCUAGGGACCGGGAGAGGUGAGAGGUACUGCCGGGGUAGGAGUGAAAACCUGUACUCCCGGUGGGAGGACCUAUGGCGAGGGCAUCUCACCAGAACGGCUCCGACAGUGAGGGAUUAAAGCUGGGGGUGAGAUCCG